rnacentral:rRNA from 1 species
UGAUACCUGCUCAAUAGAUUUAUUAAAUAGCCAUAGUAUUUUUGACUAUGCAAAGGUAGCAUAAUCAUUUGUCUUAUAAAUUAAGACUAGAAUGAAUGGAUAAAUGAAGUAAUGCUUUCUUAAAUUAAAUAUUAUAAAUAUUUUUUAUAGUGAAGAAACUAUAAUAAAUAUGAGGGACGAGAAGACCCUAUUAAGCUUAAUAAAAUUAUUUUGUUGGGGAAACAAAAGAAUAAAAUUUCUUAAGAAAUUUUAUAAUGAUAAUUAAGAUUUAUUAUUAAUAAUAAUAGAACAAGUUACUAUAGGGAUAACAGCAUAAAUUCUUUUAAAAGUUCAUAUUAACAAAGAUAUUUAUGACCUCGAUGUUGGAUUAUUAAUAUUAUAUGAAGAAGUUG